AAAUUGGAAUCUGAAAUGGCCACGUGUAUGCUCGUAGCUAUAACCUGUACAAUCAAAUGUUAUUGCUUGAGAAUACACGUAGUUAACAAGAUUCUCUCAAC
rnacentral:pre_miRNA from 11 species